GUACCCGCGGCAAGACGGAAAGACCCCGUGAACCUUUACUAUAGCUUGACACUGAACAUUGAGCCUUGAUGUGUAGGAUAGGUGGGAGGCUUUGAAGUGUGGACGCCAGUCUGCAUGGAGCCGACCUUGAAAUACCACCCUUUAAUGUUUGAUGUUCUAACGUGGACCCGUGAUCCGGGUUGCGGACAGUGUCUGGUGGGUAGUUUGACUGGGGCGGUCUCCUCCUAAAGAGUAACGGAGGAGCACGAAGGUUGGCUAAUCCUGGUCGGACAUCAGGAGGUUAGUGCAAUGGCAUAAGCCAGCUUGACUGCGAGCGUGACGGCGCGAGCAGGUGCGAAAGCAGGUCAUAGUGAUCCGGUGGUUCUGAAUGGAAGGGCCAUCGCUCAACGGAUAAAAGGUACUCCGGGGAUAACAGGCUGAUACCGCCCAAGAGUUCAUAUCGACGGCGGUGUUUGGCACCUCGAUGUCGGCUCAUCACAUCCUGGGGCUGAAGUAGGUCCCAAGGGUAUGGCUGUUCGCCAUUUAAAGUGGUACGCGAGCUGGGUUUAGAACGUCGUGAGACAGUUCGGUCCCUAUCUGCCGUGGGCGCUGGAGAACUGAGGGGGGCUGCUCCUAGUACGAGAGGACCGGAGUGGACGCAUCACUGGUGUUCGGGUUGUCAUGCCAAUGGCACUGCCCGGUAGCUAAAUGCGGAAGAGAUAAGUGCUGAAAGCAUCUAAGCACGAAACUUGCCCCGA
rnacentral:rRNA from 1 species